GAUGAAGAACGCAGCGAAAUGCGAUAAGUAAUGUGAAUUGCAGAAUUCAGUGAAUCAUCGAAUCUUUGAACGCACAUUGCGCCCGCCAGUAUUCUGGCGGGCAUGCCUGUUCGAGCGUCAUUCCAACCAUCAAGCCCCCGGCUUGUGUUGGGGACCUGCGGCUGCCGCAGGCCCUGAAAAGCAGUGGCGGGCUCGCUGUCACACCGAGCGUAGUAGAUUUCAUCUCGCUCAGGGCGUGCUGCGGGUUCCGGCCGUUAAACCACCUUCAUAACCCAAGGUUGACCUCGGAUCAGGUAGGAAGACCCGCUGAACUUAAGCAUAUCAAUAAGCGGAGGA
rnacentral:misc_RNA from 1 species